AACGCGAAGAACCUUACCAACCCUUGACAUGGCAGGACCGCUGGAGAGAUUCAGCUUUCUCGUAAGAGACCUGCACACAGGUGCUGCAUGGCUGUCGUCAGCUCGUGUCGUGAGAUGUUCGGUUAAGUCCGGCAACGAGCGCAACCCACGUCCCUAGUUGCCAGCAUUCAGUUGGGCACUCUAUGGAAACUGCCGAUGAUAAGUCGGAGGAAGGUGUGGAUGACGUCAAGUCCUCAUGGCCCUUACGGGUUGGGCUACACACGUGCUACAAUGGUGGUGACAGUGGGUUAAUCCCCAAAAGCCAUCCCAGUUCGGAUUGUCCUCUGCAACUCGAGGGCAUGAAGUGGAAUCGCUAGUAAUCGCGAACAGCAUGC
rnacentral:rRNA from 1 species